CACAGGUGAGAGAGUUUGAGUGCACAGGUGUGCGUGCGUGUGAGCGUGCGUGCUUGCGUGCGUGCGAGAAGGUCAGAGUGCGCCGCGUGUCCGUGAGUGAAAGUGCGCGUUUUUGUGUUCAGAUGGAGGACGCCCCCAGCUCCCAGAAGAGCGGGCGACUUUCUUCCUCUCACGACUUGGGGAGAGGAGGAGGAGGACCGUUUCCGACGUGGACAGGUUUCGACGUCUUAGGGGUGAGAGCAGCUGUUUUCACAAUGUUGCCUGUUGAAGAAUCCAGGCCCGUUGUCUCAUGGAAGGUCCACGUCCAGGAUCUGCCUGUGUUUCCUUACAAUGUCAUUGAACUUGUUCCUCUGGCCCCUGUAUUGCCUAUAAACUUGAAGGUAGGCCUGGCGACUUGAUUAGAUACUUCUUAGCCCAUCUGGGGGAGACUAACCCAUGGGCAGGGCUCCCUUGGUGCUGACCUGGAGGCCCUCAGGAGGUUGCCCACCACAGUCCCAUGUCAUGCUGAGUUGCUGACAGCUGGGUCUCCUCAUUGUAAGGGGUCAGUUUCCUUGAAGGGAAAUGUUUGUCCUAUCCUGUCUCUCCCUCUUUUUUUUUUUUUUUUUUUUUUUU
rnacentral:lncRNA from 1 species